AACGAACGCUGGCGGCAUGCCUAACACAUGCAAGUCGAACGAGACCUUCGGGUCUAGUGGCGCACGGGUGCGUAACGCGUGGGAACCUGCCCUUAGGUUCGGAAUAACUCCCCGAAAGGGGUGCUAAUACCGGAUAAUGUCUUCGGACCAAAGAUUUAUCGCCUUUGGAUGGGCCCGCGUUGGAUUAGCUAGUUGGUAGGGUAAAAGCCUACCAAGGCGACGAUCCAUAGCUGGUCUGAGAGGAUGGUCAGCCACACUGGGACUGAGACACGGCCCAGACUCCUACGGGAGGCAGCAGAGGGGAAUAUUGGACAAUGGGCGAAAGCCUGAUCCAGCAAGGCCGCGUGAGUGAUGAAGGCCUUAGAGUUGUAAAGCUCUUUUACCCGGGAUGAUAAUGACAGUACCGGGAGAAUAAGCUCCGGCUAACUCCGUG
rnacentral:rRNA from 1 species